rnacentral:rRNA from 1 species
GCAAGCCUGAUGCAGCCAUGCCGCGUGUGUGAAGAAGGCCUUCGGGUUGUAAAGCACUUUCAGUCAGGAGGAAAGGUUAGUAGUUAAUACCUGCUAGCUGUGACGUUACUGACAGAAGAAGCACCGGCUAACUCCGUGCCAGCAGCCGCGGUAAUACGGAGGGUGCGAGCGUUAAUCGGAAUUACUGGGCGUAAAGCGUACGCAGGCGGUUUGUUAAGCGAGAUGUGAAAGCCCCGGGCUUAACCUGGGAACUGCAUUUCGAACUGGCAAACUAGAGUGUGAUAGAGGGUGGUAGAAUUUCAGGUGUAGCGGUGAAAUGCGUAGAGAUCUGAAGGAAUACCGAUGGCGAAGGCAGCCACCUGGGUCAACACUGACGCUCAUGUACGAAAGCGUGGGGAGCAAACAGGAUUAGAUACCUUGAUAGAACACGCCGUAAACGAAGUCUACUAGCAGCUGGGGCCUUCGAGGAACU